rnacentral:rRNA from 1 species
GUCGAGCGAACGGACGAGAAGCUUGCUUCUCUGAUGUUAGCGGCGGACGGGUGAGUAACACGUGGAUAACCUACCUAUAAGACUGGGAUAACUUCGGGAAACCGGAGCUAAUACCGGAUAAUAUUUUGAACCGCAUGGUUCAAAAGUGAAAGACGGUCUUGCUGUCACUUAUAGAUGGAUCCGCGCUGCAUUAGCUAGUUGGUAAGGUAACGGCUUACCAAGGCAACGAUGCAUAGCCGACCUGAGAGGGUGAUCGGCCACACUGGAACUGAGACACGGUCCAGACUCCUACGGGAGGCAGCAGUAGGGAAUCUUCCGCAAUGGGCGAAAGCCUGACGGAGCAACGCCGCGUGAGUGAUGAAGGUCUUCGGAUCGUAAAACUCUGUUAUUAGGGAAGAACAUAUGUGUAAGUAACUGUGCACAUCUUGACGGUACCUAAUCAGAAAGCCACGGCUAACUACGUGCCAGCAGCCGCGGUAAUACGUAGGUGGCAAGCGUUAUCCGGAAUUAUUGGGCGUAAAGCGCGCGUAGGCGGUUUUUUAAGUCUGAUGUGAAAGCCCACGGCUCAACCGUGGAGGGUCAUUGGAAACUGGAAAACUUGAGUGCAGAAGAGGAAAGUGGAAUUCCAUGUGUAGCGGUGAAAUGCGCAGAGAUAUGGAGGAACACCAGUGGCGAAGGCGACUUUCUGGUC